UGGCGGCGCGCCUAGCACAUGCAAGUCGAACGAGCGAGAGAGAGCUUGCUUUCUCAAGCCAGUAGCGAACGGGUGAGUAACGCGUGAGGAACCUGCCUCAAAGAGGGGGACAACAGUUGGAAACGACUGCUAAUACCGCAUAAGCCCACGGUGCCGCAUGGCACAGAGGGAAAAGGAGCAAUCCGCUUUGAGAUGGCAUCGCGUCCGAUUAGCUAGUUGGUGAGGUAAUGGCCCACCAAGGCGACGAUCGGUAGCCGGACUGAGAGGUUGAACGGCCACAUUGGGACUGAGACACGGUUCAGACUCCUACGGGAGGCAGCAGUGGGGAAUAUUGCACAAUGGGGGAAACCCUGAUGCAGCGACGCCGCGUGGAGGAAGAAGGUCUUCGGAUUGUAAACUCCUGUUGUUGAGGAAGAUAAUGACGGUACUCAACAAGGAAGUGACGGCUAACUACGUGCCAGCAGCCGCGGUAAAACGUAGGUCACAAGCGUUGUCCGGAAUUACUGGGUGUAAAGGGAGCGCAGGCGGGAAGACAAGUUGGAAGUGAAAUCUAUGGGCUCAACCCAUAAACUGCUUUCAAAACUGUUUUUCUUGAGUAGUGCACAGGUAGGCGGAAUUCCCGGUGUAACGGUGGAAUGCGUAGAUAUCGGGAGGAACACCAGUGGCGAAGGCGGCCUACUGGGCACCAACUGACGCUGAGGCUCGAAAGUGUGGGUAGCAAACAGGAUUAGAUACCCUGGUAGUCCACACCGUAAACGAUGAUUACUAGGUGUUGGAGGAUUGACCCCUUCAGUGCCGCAGUUAACACAAUAAGUAAUCCACCUGGGGAGUACGACCGCAAGGUUGAAACUCAAAGGAAUUGACGGGGGCCCGCACAAGCAGUGGAGUAUGUGGUUUAAUUCGACGCAACGCGAAGAACCUUACCAAGUCUUGACAUCCCUUGACGAUGCUGGAAACAGUAUUUCUCUUCGGAGCAAGGAGACAGGUGGUGCAUGGUUGUCGUCAGCUCGUGUCGUGAGAUGUUGGGUUAAGUCCCGCAACGAGCGCAACCCUUAUGGUCAGUUACUACGCAAGAGGACUCUGGCCAGACUGCCGUUGACAAAACGGAGGAAGGUGGGGAUGACGUCAAAUCAUCAUGCCCUUUAUGACUUGGGCUACACACGUACUACAAUGGCGUUAAACAAAGAGAAGCAAGACCGCGAGGUGGAGCAAAACUCAGAAACAACGUCCCAGUUCGGACUGCAGGCUGCAACUCGCCUGCACGAAGUCGGAAUUGCUAGUAAUCGCAGAUCAGCAUGCUGCGGUGAAUACGUUCNCCGGGCAAUGUACACACGGCCCGUCA
rnacentral:rRNA from 1 species